AUUCAAUUGCAGAAUAAAAUCUAUGUUUUAAUUUACCAGCUUGCAAACACAGUUUUUGUACAAUCCCCUCUGUGAGCAGGAACCAGGCAGGAGAAGUGAGUCCCAACAAUGUCCCCUUUGGACAGUGUCAAGGCAGCACCAGCUGUCUCUUGAGUAUCUCUCAGGCCAUCACCAUUAGUCCCAAAAAUCUCAGAUGGCUCAUAGGUACAGCAAGAUGGCAGAAUAGAAGACUUCACCAACCAUUCCCCCCUGCAAGGACACCAAUUUAACAACAACCUACAUUUCAAAAGAACUGUUGUAAGAACCAAAAAUAAGGUGAGUACUCAUAGUACCUGGUUUUAACUUCAUAUCACUAAAAGAAGCACUGAACAGGUAGGAAAGACAGUCUUGAAUCUUUUACACCAUUUCUCCCCCAUCUCCCAACAAUGGUGGCAUGAUGCAGAAAGGGAGAAUACAGCAAUUGUGAGGCAUUGAACUCAGUGCUUUCUUGUUAGAAAGAAAAACCAAACCAAACUCAGCUUACACCUGCCAAUGGAGGAAUUAUUUAAACCAUAUAAAUAUAAUUCCUGGUGAUAGUAAGUACAGAGAAAAUCAAAUGAUAUUAUAACACUGUGACUGUGGUGUAUGAACUAAUCUUAUGCAAAGUAGAAAGGCUAAAAAAUAAACCAGUCAAAAAUAGCAACUACAGCUUUUCAAGACAUAGACAGUAAAAUUACAUGUAAAUAGAAACAAUAAAGUCAGGGGAAGAGUUAAAGCAUACAGUUUUUAUUACUAUUAUUUUUGUUUCUUUUUCUAUUCAAACAGUGUUAAGUUGUUAUUAGAUUAAAAUAAGAGGCUAUAAGUUAUCAUUUGCAAGCCUCAUGAUAACCUCAAACCAAAAAGACAAACAAGGAAUACACUAAAAAUGAAAAGCACACAACUAAAUUAUAUCACCAGAGAAAAUUACCUUCAUUAAAAGGAAGACAAAAAGCAAAGUAAGAUAAAAAGAAAGGCCACGAAGCAAGCAUAAAUCAAAAAAAAGACAGAAGUAAGUUCUUGCUUAUUAACAAUAACAUUGAAUGUAUAUAGACUAAACUCUCCAAUCAAGACAGAGUGGAUGAAUGCAUAUAAAAACAAGACAUAUUGAUCUUUUGCCUAUAAGAAAUUCACCUCAUCAACAAAGACAUAGAUAGACUGAAAAUUUUAGAAAUGGAAAAAGAUAUUGAAUGUCAAUGGAAACAAAAAAAUGCAGAAGUAACUAUACUUACAUCAAAAAAUAGAUUUUAAGACAAAAAUUAUAAGACAAAGAAGUUACUAUAUAGUGAUAAAAGGGUAAAUUUAACAAGAAGAUAUAACAAUUUUAAUAUAAAUGCACUUAACUCUUGAGCACUGAAAUAUAUAAAGCAAAUAUUACUAGAGCCAAAGAGAGAGAUAGACUCCAACACAAUAAUAGCUGGAGACUCCAACACCCCACUUUCAACAUUGAAUAGAUAUUCCAGACAGAAUAGCAACAAAGAAACAUUAGACUUAAUCUGUACUAUAGACCAAAUGUAUGUAAUAGAUAUUUGCAGAACAUUUAUCUAGUGGUUGAAGAAUACACAUUCUUUUCUUUAGCAUAUUAUUUUCAAGCAUAUGUUAGGUCAC
ensembl:lncRNA